rnacentral:lncRNA from 1 species
AGGAAACUGAAAAAUUGAUACAGUUACUGAAUACUUAUUUCCUUGCAUAAAUAUAUAAGCUUUUUAAUUCAUUUUUUGAUUACAUUCCUGAUGUAAUAUAUAUUUCAUAAAUGCAACAGAUAACAUUGUACCUGCAAAUAUUAUCUUUCCAAAGCCAUGUGCUCUCUGAUAGUGACAACAUGUGACAACAGUCUAUUCUGUAGUAUAAAACAACAACAUUCAUUCCAAUGAUACGAUCAAAAACACACUAAUAUCAGAUUACUAUAAUAAUUGUAAAUGUUUUAUGAAACAGUUACAAACCAAUAUACUGCUCUUUUGAAAUGUGAAAGUUUAAAUUAUCUGAAUAUAUUUUGGCAACUUAGUAUAUCAUGUAUAUCAAUUUCUUUUCUCAUCUUUUUAAAUCAAAGGCUUUGAUAGUUAACUAAUUUUGAAGUUAUAAUCAAGGACUCCAAGUGGUAUACAGGGAGAUAACUCUGUAAGAAUCAACUGCAUGUUAAAUCAUGUUCUAUUGUUUAAGGAAUUAUUAAGCUUUCCACACUAGAUCAGAUUACAACAGAAAAAUUCAUCCAGAAAAGAUGACUACCAAUUGUACUGAACAAGCUUAUCAAGCAUUUACUUUAGGCUGCAGUAGCUCUUGUCACAAAAAAAAUGAUCAAAAUUUAUGUUUGUCAAAUUGGUAUAUAUUCAAUGAUUUUUUUCCAGUAAAGUUUGUGGUUCAAAUUUUGAGAAAUUUAAACAUUUUUGUCUAAGGGUCAAGGUAAAUAUUUUAUGAAAAUAUGAAAAUUAAAUGAGCCCAAAUAAUUCUAAUAAAGUUGUUUAGAACCACCUUUAUGCAUAUCCUACAACUUAUUGGUCAUUAUUUAGGAACAUGUAGAAUGUAAAUCUGGUGUUCCAGCGAGUAUUUACAGAACAUUUUUGCCAUCAAAUUUUUUCUUAGUAUGUAUAAAUUAGAUGAGAAUUUUCAAAAAAAAAUUAUAUGGUUCCAUCUCAGAUAUAAAUAUACAAUGGAACCUGCAUACUAAAUACCAGGAAUGAGUUUCACAAAAAAAGUGACAACAGAAAUUGAUUACAAGCAUUUAGAAACAUGUAACAGUAAAACUCACUGCUAUAAUGACCAAUUUUAGUUGCAAAUCUUUUGUGAAACUUAUUCCAGCCGUCCUGAAAAAAAGAAUAAGUAUACCACCACAAACUUUUAAGUUGGACAUCAGAAACCCAAAAUACACUCAAAAUUGGUGGACCUGCCUGAAUUUCCUAAGUCAGGAACUUCAUCUUUCACAAACACUGAACAAAGAUGGCUAGUUAAAGUGUGCAAAUGGUGUAUUAAUCAAGGUACAUGUAUGUUGUGUUAAGAAAAUCAAUCUACAAUAAUUUAUUAGCAUUCAUUGAAUUGUAAAAAAUAAAUAACAUUUUAAAAAGAUUUUUAAACCUAGACAAAAAUUAGAAAUUAUCUCCCCUUUUCUUCUGCAAGAAUUAAUUGUAGA